rnacentral:rRNA from 1 species
CCUACGGGAGGCAGCAGUGGGGAAUAUUGGACAAUGGGCGGAAGCCUGAUCCAGCCAUGCCGCGUGUGUGAAGAAGGCCUUUUGGUUGUAAAGCACUUUAAGCGAGGAGGAGGCUACUAGUAUUAAUACUACUGGAUAGUGGACGUUACUCGCAGAAUAAGCACCGGCUAACUCUGUGCCAGCAGCCGCGGUAAUACAGAGGGUGCGAGCGUUAAUCGGAUUUACUGGGCGUAAAGCGUGCGUAGGCGGCUGAUUAAGUCGGAUGUGAAAUCCCUGAGCUUAACUUAGGAAUUGCAUUCGAUACUGGUCAGCUAGAGUAUGGGAGAGGAUGGUAGAAUUCCAGGUGUAGCGGUGAAAUGCGUAGAGAUCUGGAGGAAUACCGAUGGCGAAGGCAGCCAUCUGGCCUAAUACUGACGCUGAGGUACGAAAGCAUGGGGAGCAAACAGGAUUAGAUACCCUGGUAGUCCAUGCCGUAAACGAUGUCUACUAGCCGUUGGGGUCUUUGAGACUUUAGUGGCGCAGCUAACGCGAUAAGUAGACCGCCUGGGGAGUACGGUCGCGAAGACGUAAAACUUAAAUGAAUUGACGG